rnacentral:rRNA from 1 species
GAUCAUGGCUCAGGAUGAACGCUGGCGGCGUGCUUAACACAUGCAAGUUGUGCGGUGAUCUCAAGAAGUUUCGGACGGAAAGGGAGAGCAGCAGCGGACGGGUGAGUAAAGCACAAGGACUUGUCCCGAAGAGGGGGACAACUGUGGGAAACCACAGCUAAUACCCCAUAAGCCGAGAGGUGAAAGCAGUAAUGCGCUUUAGGAGAGACUUGUGUCCUAUCAGGUAGUUGGUGAGGUAACGGCUCACCAAGCCGAAGACGGGUAGCCGGACUGAGAGGUUGUACGGCCACAUUGGAACUGAGAGACGGUCCAGACUCCUACGGGAGGCAGCAGUGGGGAAUAUUGGGCAAUGGGGGCAAACCCCCUGACCCAGCGACGCCGCGUGAGGGAAGACAGCCUUCGGGUUGUAAACCUCUGUUGCAGGGGAAGAAGAAAGUGACGGUACCCUGCGAGGAAGCUCCGGCAAACUACGUGCCAGCCGCCGC